GAUGAACGCUGGCGGCGUGCCUAAUACAUGCAAGUCGAGCGAACAGACGAGGAGCUUGCUCCUCUGACGUUAGCGGCGGACGGGUGAGUAACACGUGGAUAACCUACCUAUAAGACUGGGAUAACUUCGGGAAACCGGAGCUAAUACCGGAUAAUAUAUUGAACCGCAUGGUUCAUUAGUGAAAUACGGUUUUGCUGUCACUAAUAGAUGGUUCUGCGCCGCUUUGGCUAGUUGGGAAGGUAACGGCUUACCAAGGCAAGGAUGCGUAGCCGACCUGAGAGAGUGAUCGGCCACACUGGAACUGAGACACGGACCAGGCUCCUACGGGAGGCAGCAGUAGGGAAUCUUCCGCAAUGGGCGAAAGCCUGACGGAACAACGCCGCGUGAGUGAUGAAGGUCUUCGGAUCGUAAAACUCUGUUAUUAGGGAAGAACAAAUGUGUAAGUAACUAUGCACGUCUUGACGGUACCUAAUCAGAAAGCCACGGCUAACUACGUG
rnacentral:rRNA from 1 species